UACAGAGGGGGCAAGCGUUGUUCGGAAUUACUGGGCGUAAAGGGCUCGUAGGCGGCCAACUAAGUCACACGUGAAAUCCCCAGGCUUAACCUGGGAACUGCGUGUGAUACUGGAUGGCUUGAAUUCGGGAGAGGGAUGCAGAAUUCCAGGUGUAGCGGUGAAAUGCGUAGAUAUCUGGAGGAACACCGGUGGCGAAGGCGGUUCUCUGGGCAUGUCCUGACGCUGAGGAGCGAAAGUGUGGGGAGCGAACAGG
rnacentral:rRNA from 1 species